rnacentral:lncRNA from 1 species
CGGAUUUUAAAUGGAAUGAAGACUGGUGUCCCAGGACCUGGACCUUUUAUCUCUCUGUUUAGAACUGUACAUGCUCUGUUGUUGUGUUAUGAAUGGUCAUAUUUGGCAUCUGUAUGUAAAUAUAAUGAUCCAACAUAAACAUCAGUUUCUCAAGUUUUGAUGUUCGCUGGCGUUCACGUUCAUGAUCACGUCUGAUAUGGAUUCGUGGUUAAAAUUACGCGGCUCGUGAUAUUUUGGGAUGAGUCACUGUUGCCGUGGCAACCGCCCGAAGUUUCAAUUUUCGUUUUGUUUGGGGAAGUGCUGGCCUAUAAAAAGCAGCAGCAGCAGCAGGGUGCAUCACAGGAGAUCAUCAUGAGGACUGGACACGAUGGUCUGGGUGAGUCUGACCUUCACAUCCACAGGCUCCUCUGGAUUCAGGAGGAGGGGUGUGAUCUUCUGAGCUUUUAGCUUCAUUGGACCCAGUGAUGCAGGUCUUCUGAAGAGUGAUGUGACGUGCUGCUGGUUUUGUCUCCAGGCUCUGGCUGCUGGACAGCAGCUCUCCUCGUCCUGCUGGGCAGCCUGACUUCAGAUGCCCUCCAGCGUGGGCAGAAGGCUCCUAAGAUCCUCAAGCCACUGAGCAACCUUACAGCUUCUGUGGGACAGUCAAAGGUCAUCUCCUGUGUGGCGAACCCUGGACUGUCUCCAGAUGAAACAGUCAUCUACUGGCUUGUCAACAACACUUUCAUCCAGGCAGCAUAUCCAGAUGGACGGAUUAGUAUGUCUGAGAGUUAUUUUAAAGGUGGAUCCGUCAUCCUCAAGAGGAACCUGAAGAUAGUUGAGGUUCUUCCUGAAGAUUUCAAUUCUGACUUCAUCUGUGUGGUGACCAAUCCAGCAGGGAGAGCAAAGACGACAAUAAGACUGGUGAAGCUCUUCUUCUGUCUCCAUGUCUCUCACACACACACACACACACACACACACACACACACACACAUAUACACACUUACCAGACGCGCUUAU